rnacentral:rRNA from 1 species
GAUGAACGCUAGCGGCAGGCCUAAUACAUGCAAGUCGAACGAGAUUAAGAGGCUUGCUUCUUAUGAAAGUGGCGCACGGGUGCGUAACGCGUAUGCAACCUACCUUAAUCAGGGGGAUAGCCCGAAGAAAUUCGGAUUAAGACCGCAUAAAAACACAGGAUAGCAUUAUCCAAUGUUCAAAUAUUUAUAGGAUUAAGAUGGGCAUGCGUGUCAUUAGCUAGUUGGCGGGGUAACGGCCCACCAAGGCGACGAUGACUAGGGGAUCUGAGAGGAUGACCCCCCACACUGGUACUGAGACACGGACCAGACUCCUACGGGAGGCAGCAGUAAGGAAUAUUGGUCAAUGGAGGGAACUCUGAACCAGCCAGGCCGCGUGCAGGAAGACAGCCCUCUGGGUCGUAAACUGCUUUUAUUCGGGAAUAAACCUUUCUACGUGUAGGAAGCUGAAUGUACCGAAGGAAUAAGGAUCGGCUAACUCCGUG